GGGUUAGUAGGUUGGUCAUGCCUCUGGUAUGUACUGAUCUCACUGAUUCCUCCUUCCUGAUGAGCCGUAAUGCCAUUAAUUUGGUGUUUUGGGGAAUUUGGACUGUUACUUUGAAAAAAUUAGAGUGUUUAAAGCAAGCUAACGCUUGAAUACAUUAGCAUGGAAUAAUGAAAUAGGACGUUCGAUCCUAUUUUGUUGGUUUCUAGGACCGCUGUAAUGAUUAAUAGGGAUAGUUGGG
rnacentral:rRNA from 1 species